rnacentral:misc_RNA from 1 species
GUUGAUAAUUAGUUAGUUUAGUAAGUUGUAAUAAUUAAGAAUAAGCAGUUCUUUCUUAAAUUAUAUAAGAGAGGUAUAUAAAACACACGCUGAUUGGUUAUAUGAAACCCAAUGGUUCAGACAUAAUUCGGAACAUCGAUAAUAAGUUAACAGGUGUAACUCAUUCUCUUAUAUACUGAGUUAUGAUCAAUUAAUAGAUCUUUAUUGUUCGGAAAAUUCUAUAAUUAGAAUUUGCCCUCUUCAUUAACUUUUGACUCACGCUAAGGAAUGUCCGAAGUCACAUAUUCCAACA